rnacentral:rRNA from 1 species
AUUGAACGCUGGCGGCAGGCCUAACACAUGCAAGUCGAACGCGUGUCGGUCGGUUUAGUAAUGUCUGGGAAACCCCCUCAUCGCGGGGGAUAACUACUGGAAACGGUUGCUAAUACCGUAUACCAUCUGAUGUGCCCAUAUGGUAUUAGCUACUAGGUGGGGUAACGGCUCACCUAGGCGACGAUCCCUAGCUGGUCUGAGAGGAUGACCAGCCACACUGGAACUGAGACACGGUCCAGACUCCGACGGGAGGCAGGAGUGGGGGAUAUUGCACAAUGGGCGCAAGCCUGAUGCAGCCAUGCCGCGUGUAGGAAGAAGGCCUUCGGGUUGUAAAGUACGUUCAGCGGGGAGGCGUUACCCGCAGAAGAAGCACCGGCUAACCCCGUGCCAGCAGCCGCGGUAAUAC